rnacentral:misc_RNA from 1 species
AACUGAUACUACCUGCGGGAACCUGCGGAGGGAUCAUUACCGAGUUUACAACUCCCAAACCCCCUGUGAACCUAUACCAUUACUGUUGCUUCGGCGGGUCAUUGCCCCGGGGAAAGGACGAGGUGCCGCCUAGGCUCCCCGGCCCGCCCCCGGAAACAGGCGCCUGCCGGGGGAAUCAAACUCUUCUGUAUUUUUACUUUUACUGUUAUACUGUCUGAGUACAAAACUAUAAAUGAAUCA